CCUACGGGAGGCAGCAGUAGGGAAUAUUGCUCAAUGGGGGAAACCCUGAAGCAGCAACGCCGCGUGGAGGAUGAAGGUUUUCGGAUUGUAAACUCCUUUUGUUAGAGAAGAUAAUGACGGUAUCUAACGAAUAAGCACCGGCUAACUCCGUGCCAGCAGCCGCGGUAAUACGGAGGGUGCAAGCGUUACUCGGAAUCACUGGGCGUAAAGAGGGCGGAGGCGGGAUAGCAAGUCAGAUGUGAAAUCCUAUGGCUUAACCAUAGAACUGCAUUUGAAAAUGUUAUUCUAGAGUAUGGGAGAGGUAGGUGGAAUUCUUGGUGUAGGGGUAAAAUCCGUAGAGAUCAAGAGGAAUACUCAUUGCGAAGGCGACCUGCUAGAACAUAACUGACGCUGAUGCGCGAAAGCGUGGGGAGCAAACAGGAUUAGAUACCCUAGUAGUC
rnacentral:rRNA from 1 species